AGAGUUUGAUCAUGGCUCAGGAUGAACGCUAGCGGCAGGCCUAAUACAUGCAAGUCGAACGGUAAGUAGGAUAGCAAUAUUCUACCAAGAGUGACGCACGGGUGCGUAACACGUAUGCAACCUACCCUUUACAGGCGGAUAGCUCGGGGAAACUCGAAUUAACCCGCCAUAAUAUAAUUGAAUGGCAUCAUUUGGUUAUUAAAUCUGAGGAGGUAAAGGAUGGGCAUGCGUCUGAUUAGCUAGUUGGUAGUGUAAUGGACUACCAAGGCGAUGAUCAGUAGGGGAACUGAGAGGUUGAUCCCCCACACUGGCACUGAGAUACGGGCCAGACUCCUACGGGAGGCAGCAGUAGGGAAUAUUGGUCAAUGGGUGAGAGCCUGAACCAGCCAUGCCGCGUGCAGGAAGAAGGCCUUCUGGGUUGUAAACUGCUUUUGCCAGGGGAUAAAAUUUCCUUGCGAGGAAAAUUGAAGGUACCUGGUGAAUAAGCCACGGCUAACUACGUGCCAGCAGCCGCGGUAAUACGUAGGUGGCAAGCGUUGUCCGGAUUUAUUGGGUUUAAAGGGUGCGUAGGCGGCCCUGUAAGUCAGUGCUGAAAUAUCCCAGCUUAACUGGGAGGGUGGCAUUGAUACUGCGGGGCUAGAGUACAGAUGAGGUAGGCGGAAUUGACGGUGUAGCGGUGAAAUGCUUAGAUAUCGUCAAGAACACCUAUAGCGAAGGCAGCUUACUAGGCUGUAACUGACGCUGAGGCACGAAAGUGUGGGGAUCAAACAGGAUUAGAUACCCUGGUAGUCCACACUGUAAACGUUGAUUACUCGCUGUGUGCGAUAUACAGUACGCGGCCAAGCGAAAGCGCUAAGUAAUCCACCUGGGGAGUACGCCGGCAACGGUGAAACUCAAAGGAAUUGACGG
rnacentral:rRNA from 1 species